GUCUACAUCCGUCGUGACUCCAAUGAACCGCAGGCUUCACCCCUUGUGGUGCUCCCCCGCCAAUUCCUUUAGUUUCAUUACUUGCGUACGUACUUCCCAGGCGGCAGACUCAACGGCUUCCCUGCGGCACUGCAUUGGCCACAAGCCAAUGCGUCACCGAGUCUGCAUCGUUUACAGCUGGGACUACCCGGGUAUCUAAUCCGGUUUGCUCCCCCAGCUUUCAUCCCUCACCGUCGAACGUGUUCUGGUACACCGCCUUCGCCACAGGUGGUCAUCAAUAGAUCAAAGGAUUUUACCCCUUCCUAUUGAGUACCGUGUACCUCUCCCACUCCCUAGCUGCACAGUAUUUUCGGCGGCCUAUACGUUGAGCGCAUAGAUUUAACCGAAAACUUAUGCAACCGGCUACGGAUGCUUUAGGCCCAAUAAACCUCCUGACCACUCGAGGUGCUGGUUUUACCGCGGCGGCUGACACCAGAACUUGCCCACCCCUUAUUCACCAGUGAUUCUACAACUGACAAAAGACUCCUUUAGCAGGAGACACUCGGAUUAACCUUGUCGUGCUUUCGCACAUUGCAAAGGUUUCUCGCCUGCUGCGCCCCAUAGGGCCUGGGUCCGUGUCUCAGUACCCCAUCUCCGGGCCCCUCCUCUCAGAGCCCGUUACCUGUUAUAGCCU
rnacentral:rRNA from 1 species